CAGUAGCCACGGUAAUACGUAGGUGGCAAGCGUUGUCCGGAUUUAUUGGGCGUAAAGCGAGCGCAGGCGGUCAAUUAAGUCUGAUGUGAAAGCCCCCGGCUCAACCGGGGAGGGUCAUUGGAAACUGGUUGACUUGAGUGCAGAAGAGGAGAGUGGAAUUCCAUGUGUAGCGGUGAAAUGCGUAGAUAUAUGGAGGAACACCAGUGGCGAAGGCGACUCUCUGGUCUGUAACUGACGCUGAGGCUCGAAAGCGUGGGCAGCAAACAGGAUUAGAUACCCCGGUAGUCCCUGUCUCUUAUAC
rnacentral:rRNA from 1 species